rfam:Ruminococcus sp. YE71 genome assembly, contig: IE40DRAFT_scaffold00015.15
GUCCGUGACGAUAGCGAUGAGGUUCCACCUGUUCCCAUGCCGAACACAGAAGUUAAGCUCAUCUACGCUGAAAAUACUUGCCUGGCGACGGGCUGGGAAGAUAAGUAGUUGCGGACA